AUUAUAACUUAAGUAUAAUGUAUAUUUCACUUACAAUGAUAAGGUCUAUUUUA
rnacentral:tRNA from 1 species